UGAAACCGUUUAGGGGUAAACCUGAGAAACCCGAAAGAUUGAAGGAAGAAAUUCAUUCGCGUUUCGAUACAGGCAAUGAAGAAUUUAUAUGACGAUGUACAUUUUUAUAUGUAUGACGCAUUAAUUUUUCAUUUGAUCCGGUAACGAACGUGUGCACUUUUCUUCUGGUAGGACGUCGCAAUCCGUUGGGUGUCGAUCUACGAUUUUAUAGUGGAGAUCACUUGUGUCAUAUUUACGUAUGUUACAUAAGUGAACCUGUAUUAUCUGGUCGACGAAAAUUUUUAACACUCCGACGGUAGUCAAAUGGUUUGGGGCCGCUCUCUUUGGAGCGUUCGACUCGUAACAAGCGCGCUAGAUGUGUUGAAGUCCGGACCUAGUGCCGGUCCCAACCUCUAGUGACUGUUCGUUACGAUGUUCUCGAACAGACCUCAUUUAAUUGUGAAAACCGAUUGGCGACGCUAUAGCUUUGGGUACUUUCAGGACCCGUCUUGAAACACGGACCAAGGAGUCUAGCAUGUACGCAAGUCAUUGGGAAUUAUUAAACCUAAAGGCAUAAUGAAAGUAAAGAUCUUUCUUGUAGAGAUCGAGGGAAGAAGAAUGAAUUAAGUUUUUUAUUAGACUGUCAUUCUGCAUUCCCGGGGCGUUUCAUUCUCAUUACGAGUUGAGGCGCACUAAGAGCGUACACGCUGGGACCCGAAAGAUGGUGAACUAUGCCUGGUCAGGAUGAA
rnacentral:rRNA from 1 species